rnacentral:rRNA from 1 species
UACGUAGGGGGCAAGCGUUGUCCGGAAUCAUUGGGCGUAAAGAGCGUGUAGGCGGCCAGAUAAGUCCGCUGUGAAAACUCGAGGCUCAACUUCGAGCUGUCGGUGGAAACUAUUUGGCUAGAGUCCGGAAGAGGAGAGUGGAAUUCCUGGUGUAGCGGUGAAAUGCGCAGAUAUCAGGAGGAACACCGAUGGCGAAGGCAGGUCUCUGGGCCACUACUGACGCUGAGAAGCGAAAGCAUGGGGGAGCGAACAGG